UGGGGGAUAUUGCACAAUGGGGGAAACCCUGAUGCAGCGACGCCGCGUGGAGGAAGAAGGUUUUCGGAUUGUAAACUCCUGUCGUUAGGGACGAUAAUGACGGUACCUAACAAGAAAGCACCGGCUAACUACGUGCCAGCAGCCGCGGUAAAACGUAGGGUGCAAGCGUUGUCCGGAAUUACUGGGUGUAAAGGGAGCGCAGGCGGACCGGCAAGUUGGAAGUGAAAACCAUGGGCUCAACCCGUGAAUUGCUUUCAAAACUGCUGGCCUUGAGUAGUGCAGAGGUAGGUGGAAUUCCCGGUGUAGCGGUGGAAUGCGUAGAUAUCGGGAGGAACACCAGUGGCGAAGGCGACCUACUGGGCACCAACUGACGCUGAGGCUCGAAAGCAUGGGUAGCAAACAGGAUUAGAUACCCUGGUAGUCCAUGCCGUAAACGAUGAUUACUAGGUGUUGGAGGAUUGACCCCUUCAGUGCCGCAGUUAACACAAUAAGUAAUCCACCUGGGGAGUACGACCGCAAGGUUGAAACUCAAAGGAAUUGACGGGGGCCCGCACAAGCAGUGGAGUAUGUGGUUUAAUUCGAAGCAACGCGAAGAACCUUACCAGGUCUUGACAUCCGAUGCAUAGUGCAGAGAUGCAUGAAGUCCUUCGGGACAUCGAGACAGGUGGUGCAUGGUUGUCGUCAGCUCGUGUCGUGAGAUGUUGGGUUAAGUCCCGCAACGAGCGCAACCCUUAUUGCCAGUUACUACGCAAGAGGACUCUGGCGAGACUGCCGUUGACAAAACGGAGGAAGGUGGGGAUGACGUCAAAUCAUCAUGCCCCUUAUGUCCUGGGCUACACACGUAAUACAAUGGUCGUUAACAGAGGGAAGCGAAACCGCGAGGUAGAGCAAAUCCCCAAAAACGGUCUCAGUUCGGAUUGCAGGCUGCAACUCGCCUGUAUGAAGUCGGAAUUGCUAGUAAUCGCGGAUCAGCAUGCCGCGGUGAAUACGUUCCC
rnacentral:rRNA from 1 species